CAUUCUUGCAUGAAAAGACAUUGAAAUGACCUGAGGUAGAGAUGAACACGUGUUUCCUGGAUUAUCAUCACACUAAGAACAGCUAAAUUGAUCUCAACCUCACAGCCUCUGCACAGUAGAAAUGAAGGUGUGUUUCCUGGAUUAUCAUCACACUGAGGACAGUUGAACUGAACUCAACCUUGCAGCCUCAGCACAGUAGAAAUGAAGGUGUAUUUCCUGGAUUAUCAUCACACUUAGGACAGCUAAAUUGAUCUCAUACCCGCAGCCUCAGCACAGUAGAGAUAAUCGAAGGUCUGUUUUCUGAAUUUUCAUCACACUGAAGUCCUGAAUUCAUCUGUUCACCAUCUACCUGUAGUUCUAACACCUAACAGGAAGCAUCUGCAAAAAAGUAGAAUUGAAGGUGUGUUUCCUAGAUUGUCAUCACACUAAGGACAGCUGAAUUCAUCUGCUCACCAUCUACUUCUACAUCCUUAUAGCAUCAGCAAAGUAGAAAUGAAGGUGUAUUUCCUGGAUUAUCAUCACACUUAGGACAGCUAAAUUGAUCUCAACCCCGCAGCCUCAGCACAGUAGUGAUGAUCGAAGGCGUGUUUUUUGCAUUAUCAUCACACUAAAGACAGCUGAAUUCAUCUGUUCACCAACUAGUUCUACAACAUUACAGCAUCAGCAAAAAAAGAAAUUAGAAGUGCAUGUGACAGGACCCGCGUGCCAGAGGGGUCAUUGUAGUCCUUUGCUGUUUCCAGCAUGGCACCGCUAGGUGUAGAUGAUGUACAGGAUGCGUGCUCUGCUUUGUGUCAUUUCCAUAAAAAUGGCCCAAUCAUGCUUAUUUAGAACUUGACCUGCAUA